GUGGCAGCGUUUAACCCAACAGCUGAGGAAGCAUCUCCAUAAGGAAGCAAAGGCCCACGUUCCCACAGUGGCCAGUGGUGCCACAGCGGCAGACGCUCCGCGUUCUCACCAGGACAUAUGCUCAGUGAAGUAGAUGCUCUUAAUGUGACUAAUCGCCAUUCACUGGUGUCCACACUAAUCCUCAGCAGCCCAUCAAGACGGAGACGUCCAAGUGAACAGAUAAUUAUCCUGAAUGCCAUGUAUUUAUGAAACCAAUGAACCAUUACUGGCAAACACUGUACUAGACUGGUGGAGGAAGACACAUUAGUAACACGUGUGAUGCACUACAAGCAGGUAGGACCUGCUUUGAAGUCCAGAACGUUUGUUUUCUAAACAUACAUAACUUUAAACAGAAAUUAUCUAAAUAACCUUUUUCAUUAAUUUUGUCUGGAAGAAAAAUACAGGUCACGUAAAUUAUCCCAAAGUUGCGUCUGCUAUUUGUACCUCAUAGGAAGAUGCUAUAAUUAACCUGGAGCUAUAAGCUUUUUUUUUAGAUUUUAAAGCUUAUGUUUUAAUGGAGAAAUAAGUAUUAAUAAUAUCUAUAUAAUAUUUUGUAUUUAAAUAUGUAUUGUUGUUUUUCUUGUUAUUCAUUAAAUGUUUUUUAAUAAAAUAAAGUCACUUAAGUUAUAAUUUUCACAGUUGCAGGAAAGAGUCUACAUUCAAUUUCUAAUCAUAUCUUCUGAAGAUUGAUAUAAUAUUGUAUCUGAAUAUUGUUAUAUUUAAAAUGUUGGUUGUUGUUUUUUUUACUCAGAAUUCUAGUUCCAUGUCUCCAUGGUGAGCAGAGGUCAGGUUUCAGGCUGUUUGCGGCUGGUUUCCAUAGUGGCCAGUGUUUGCAUUAGUCGUUAGGCUGGACACAGUGUGUGGUGAAUUAGUGAAAGCAGUUGACUCGGUUGACUCAACUUCUCAAACUCUGCUAAUAUGGUAAAAGGUGGAAAGAGAUAUCCAUCAGUGAACAACGAUGGCAAAUGGUUUGCUCAUGAAGUCUUAAGCAAAAGUGAGACAAGGACUCGUGAGCUGUCCACAAGCACUGGGAUGAUGCUGAGUCAGGUCAAGACAUCUUUGCCUCAGGAUUUGAACUUUGAGCGUUAUCCCAAACGGAGAACUGAGCAGAACACCAGAGUGUAUCCAUAUUCAGAGCAUGAUAACAAGCACGCCUUCGCAGACAACGUCUGUGUCUUCACUCAGGGUGUGGGCCGCAGGAAGUGUGCGGGCGACCGUCGGCAGCACAACUCCCACUUCUGCCUGUGCCACGACGCCGAGGGCGCCGCCGAAGCCGCCGGGGGCCUGCGAGCGGCCUCCAGGAGCGACGUCAAGGUGAAGCAGGCUGCUGAGGUCGGAGCCGGCGCCCGGCGGUUCCCCCGCAACCACAAGCAGAAGGCUGCACAGGCGGCUCUGGCGCAGGCAGGGCAGCAGUUUAUGUGGUUUGGACGACACGACUGUGAACCCUCAAAAGACGCUCUGCAAGUGUUGGCAGCUACCAGCAGCUCGGCCUCUCGCACGCGUUGAGAUACACCUGUAUAUCAGGGGCUUGACGGCAUCAUUGAUGGACCCGAUGUUAAUUAAAGGAGCAAAUGGAACCACCAGUCUGGAGCAGCAAUCACGGGUCCGUGCAGUUCACAGUUUCACCAACAGAGGGCAGCAGGUCUGCGUGAGUUGUGUCACAAGUGUAUGAACCAACAAAACCUGUUUAAUGUGCUAAGUCAGUGAGGGGAGAUGAGGGGGGGUGUAAUUUAGCUAUUUUUAUUCAACACAUAUCAACAUGCAGACAUUAAAUUAGACCAUGUGAAAUAAAUUAAGCCUGAUUUGACUCA
ensembl:lncRNA autophagy-related protein 16-1-like